AGAGCGAACGCUGGCGGCAGGCCUAAAACAUGCAAGUCGAACGGACCCUUCGGGGUUAGUGGCGGACGGGUGAGUAACACGUGGGAACGUGCCUUUUGGUUCAGAACAACUCAGGGAAACUUGAGCUAAUACUGAAUAAGCCCUACGGGGGAAAGAUUUAUCGCCAUUAGAGCGGCCCGCGUCUGAUUAGCUAGUUGGUGAGGUAAAGGCUCACCAAGGCUACGAUCAGUAGCUGGUCUGAGAGGAUGAUCAGCCACACUGGGACUGAGACACGGCCCAGACUCCUACGGGAGGCAGCAGUUAGGAAUCUUGCGCAAUGGGCGAAAGCCUGACGCAGCCAUGCCGCGUGAAUGAUGAAGGUCUUAGGAUUGUAAAAUUCUUUCAGUGGGAAGAUAAUGACUGUACCCACAGAAGAAGCUCCGGCUAACUUCGUGCCAGCAGCCGC
rnacentral:rRNA from 1 species